rnacentral:rRNA from 1 species
GAUCCUGGCUCAGGAUGAACGCUAGCAACAGGCUUAACACAUGCAAGUCGAGGGGCAGCGAGGGAGUGGCAACACUUCUGUCGGCGACCGGCGCACGGGUGAGUAACGCGUAUGCAACCUGCCCUUCACAGGGGGGAUAACCGGGAGAAAUUCCGACUAAUACCGCAUACGUCCUUUGGGGGCAUCCCCGGGGGAUGAAAGAAUUAUCGGUGAAGGAUGGGCAUGCGUGAUAUUAGGUAGUUGGCGGGG